rnacentral:lncRNA from 10 species
CUCGGGAGGCUGAGGCAGGAGAAUGGUGUGAACCCAGGAGGCGGAGGUUGCAGUGAGCCGAGAUCGUGCCACUGCACUCCAGCCUGGGUGACAGAGCAAGACUCCAUCUCAAAAACAAAACAAAACAAAACAAAACAACAACAAAAAAACACCUCUCAGGCAAACUAGAAACAGAAAGGGACUUCAUCAACUUGAUAAAGAAUAUCUACAUGUUGUAUGAAAGGAGAGAAGGUUAGCACUUCCCUUGGCAAGGUUGGAAGAGGCCCUCAGGCCUGACAACAUGCAUAUGGUUAAGGCAUUGCCACCUACUUCGUGGCAUCUAACCAUCGUUACUUUUGCUGGGUGCGGUGGCUCACGCCUGUAAUCCCAGCACUUUGGAAGCCAAGGUAGGUGGAUCAUGAGGUCAGGAGAUGGAGACCAUCCUAGCAAACAUGGUGAAACUCCGUCUCUACUAAAAUACAAAAAUUAGCUGGGCGUGGUGGUGGGCCUGUAGUCCUAGCUACUCAGGAGGCUGAGGCAGGACAGUUGCUUAAACCCGGGAGGCAGAGGUUGCAGUGAGCCAAGAUCACACCACUGCACUCCAGCCCGGGCAACAGAGCAAGACUCUGUCUCAAAAAAUAAAUAAAUAAAUCAAAUAAAAAAUAAAAAAAAGAACAUCUAUAAAAAACCUACAGCUAGUAUCAUAAUUAGUGAUGAAAAAUUGAGGCCGGGCAUGGUGGCUCACGCCUGUAAUCCCAGCACUUUGGGAGGCUGAGGCAGAUGGAUCACGAGGUCAGGAGUUUGAGACCAGCCUGGCCAAGAUGGUAAAACCCCAUUUCAACUGAAAAUACAAAAAUUAGCUGGGCGCAGUGGCGGGCGCCUGUAAUCCCAGCUACUCGGGAGGCUGAGGCAG